GAGUCAGCAGGCGGCCUGACGGCAUGGCAGGGGAGACAUGCCAGUGAAUAAGAUCCAUCAAAAGAAGGCUGCCUACUAGCUUUGAAACACUUUCAGCUUCAGUACAGUGGUGAGAAACAGACUUCAACUAAAGAUUUCAAGACUCUUCUUACAAAGUCCUGCUUGUAUCCAGCUGUAACAGCAAUUGUUCAUUCAUCACACUUGUUUUAACUACAGUCAAAGCAGGAAGAAAUGAUAAAAUAUAGAGUCAUGACACUUUGGCUCCCAGGAAGGAUUACAUCAUCACCUCAGGGCAGCUAAUCUAUAUUUAAAUGCAAAGGUUAUACAGUGUCUCUCUGUUGCCCAGGCUGGAGUACUGUGGACGAUCAGAGCUCACUGCAGCCUCAAACUCCUAGGCUCAAGCAGUCCACCCACCCUCCCAAGUAGCUGGGACUAGACGCACACACAACUACGUCGGCUAAUUUUUUUUUUGGUAUAAUUCUAUUUAUAUGAAAUAUCCAGAAUAGGCAAACCCAUAAACAGGAAGUCAGUUGGUGGUUGCUAGGGAUGGGGAGGAGGGAGGAAAUGGAGAGUUCUUGUUUAAUGGGUACAGGGUUUCAUUUUGGGAUGAUAAAAAAUGUUUUGGAAAUAGACAGAGGCGAUGGUUACACAACAUUGUGGAUGUUUAGUACCAAAUGUCACUGAAUUGUUCCCUUUAAAAUGGUUAACUUUAUGUUAUGUGAAUUUCACCUCAAUACAAAUAAAUAAUAAAUACGUUGCAAGGAAAAAACUUGGAAAGAGGCCAAUCAAACAAAAAAGUUGUAAUGAAAAAGAAAAG
rnacentral:lncRNA from 10 species